AGCGAACGCUGGCGGCAGGCCUAACACAUGCAAGUCGAACGAACCUUUCGGGGUUAGUGGCGGACGGGUGAGUAACACGUGGGAACGUGCCUUUAGGUUCGGAAUAACUCAGGGAAACUUGUGCUAAUACCGAAUGUGCCCUUCGGGGGAAAGAUUUAUCGCCUUUAGAGCGGCCCGCGUCUGAUUAGCUAGUUGGUUGAGGUAAUGGCUCACCAAGGCGACGAUCAGUAGCUGGUCUGAGAGGAUGAUCAGCCACAUUGGGACUGGGACACGGCCCAAAAUCCUACGGGAGGCAGCAGUGGGGAAUCUUGCGCAAUGGGCGAAAGCCUGACGCAGCCAUGCCGGGUGAAUGAUGAAGGUCUUAGGAUUGUAAAAUUCUUUCACCGGGGACGAUAAUGACGGUACCCGGAGAAGAAGCCCCGGCUAACUUCGUG
rnacentral:rRNA from 1 species